UAGAAUUCGUAACCAGUAUUUUAUUUACAACGCGGUACUCGAUUACAUUAGUUUUCCUAAUGAAGAGCUUGUUUUGCGCCUCACGUCACAAUCGUGGGCUUUUAUUUGCCUAUUUCCUAUCUUCUAAUGAGGACACCCUGACUUGCAAACAAAAAGGAGGAAGAAAGUCAAAGAGAGAGAAAGGUAAAAAGAACAGUGUGCUGCAAAAGUAGCCGACCACCC
rnacentral:lncRNA from 1 species